GCAUCACUGGUGUUCGGGUUGUCAUGCCAAUGGCACUGCCCGGUAGCUAAAUGCGGAAGAGAUAAGUGCUGAAAGCAUCUAAGCACGAAACUUGCCCCGAGAUGAGUUCUCCCUGACCCUUUAAGGGUCCUGAAGGAACGUUGAAGACGACGACGUUGAUAGGCCGGGUGUGUAAGCGCAGCGAUGCGUUGAGCUAACCGGUACUAAUGAACCGUGAGGCUUAACCUUACAACGCCGAAGGUGUUU
rnacentral:rRNA from 1 species